CCUACGGGGGGCAGCAGUGAGGAAUAUUGGUCAAUGGACGAGAGUCUGAACCAGCCAAGUAGCGUGAAGGAUGACUGCCCUAUGGGUUGUAAACUUCUUUUAUAUGGGAAUAAAACGUUCCACGUGUGGGAUUUUGUAUGUACCAUAUGAAUAAGGAUCGGCUAACUCCGUGCCAGCAGCCGCGGUAAUACGGAGGAUCCGAGCGUUAUCCGGAUUUAUUGGGUUUAAAGGGAGCGUAGGUGGAUUGUUAAGUCAGUUGUGAAAGUUUGCGGCUCAACCGUAAAAUUGCAGUUGAAACUGGCAGUCUUGAGUACAGUAGAGGUGGGCGGAAGUCGUGGUGUAGCGGUGAAAUGCUUAGAUAUCACGAAGAACUCCGAUUGCGAAGGCAGUUCACUGGACUGCAACUGACACUGAGGCUCGAAAGUGUGGGUAUCAAACAGGAUUAGAUACCCGUGUAGU
rnacentral:rRNA from 1 species